rnacentral:lncRNA from 1 species
UCAAAUAACUUACCAUUAUCAUCAUAAGAUACCAAAAUUUCAAGUAUAACAAAUAUAAACAUAUCUCGACAUAACACAGAUGAGCUUAAGUAGUUACAUUCGUAUAUACCUUAAACUACAUUUGAUAUUCUAUUGUAUGAUAGAGCUUAUAUCCUAUGAGAUAGUGAUUAGAUAUCACAUUGUAAGUGUAAUACCCAAAUUUUUACCCGUCCCACAAUAAACAAACAGUCCAUUUUUACAAACAGGCCUAUAUGGCCCAAAACUCGAAAUACAACAGGGGCCCAAAGCUCUGUGGCCCAAAUCAUUUGCAGAAACCCUAGGGUUUCCAAAGAAGACCUUUGCGCCGCAGCCACAAGCGUCCCUGAUCUUCAUACCUGCGCAUCAAAGAGAAACAAAAAAGGAAACACAAUCAAAUAUUCGAAAAUCAAAUAAAGAAACAGAUUUGUUUCUUCUUUAGAUUGGUUUUUGCUAUUAUUUUUUCAUUCGGCUAUAAAGAGCCACAAAAACACUGUAAUACGGAUCGAAAAAAUCAAUAAGAAAACAAUUACUUUCACAGAGAAUAUGAUGCAGAGCAAAAUCAAUCCAAGGUUUACAUUUACAGUUUUUUUUAUCUUGCUUUAUUUUAAUCUAUUGUUAUUUUUUUUAUAUUCGAAUAUAAAAAUAAACUACAUAAAAGGAAAGAAACAACCUUUCUUUCGGAAGCGACGUCUAGACGAUGAGGGAGCCACCCUCGAGGAUCAGUGGCCGGAAACCGAAAGGUUUCGGGACUCUUUUCGCAUUUUCAGUUGAUUUUUUUAAAGGUUUGAACCCAGAUUUGGGCUUAGGGGAUUCGAAAGGGUUGAAAAGGAUAUUUUAUUUUUUCUUCGGCCACCGUAUACGGCGGUGCCGGCGCCGAAGAUCGGCGUCCGGCGCGGUGGCCGAUGACCGGACUGGAGACCGGACGACUGAGAGGGGAGAGAGUUUUUUUUUUGGAAAGUUUUUGAUUUUUUUAAAAAAU